UACAGAGGGUGCAAGCGUUAAUCGGAAUUACUGGGCGUAAAGCGUGCGUAGUCGGUUAUUUAAGUCGGGUGUGAAAGCCCCGGGCUCAACCUGGGAAUUGCAUUCGAGACUGAAUAGCUAGGGUGCGGAAGAGGGAAGCGGAAUUUCCGGUGUAGCGGUGAAAUGCGUAGAUAUCGGAAGGAACACCAGUGGCGAAAGCGGCUUCCUGGUCCAGCACCGACGUUCAGGCACGAAAGCGUGGGGAGCAAACAGG
rnacentral:rRNA from 1 species